GUGAAGUACAAAUGUAACAGUUACUGUAAAUUAGAAUGCUACAUGUAAUCUUUAUUGUGUUUUUUUUUUUCAUUUUUUUUUUUUUAAACAUGGAGUCUUGCUCUGCUGCCCAGGCUGGAGUACAGUGGUGCAAUCUAGUUCACUGCAGCCUCAAACUCCCGGGAUUAAGCAAUCCUUCCACUUUAGCUUCCCAAGUAGCUAAAGUUCCAAGUAGGGACUACAGGCAUGCACCACCAGUUCAGGAAAGAUUAAUAAACUUUUGUAUUCUGAGUUUGGAAAUUCUUGCCCAAGAAUAGUUACAGAAUUUUUUUUCAGAACAAAGAGAAAUAAACAUCAAGAGAGGAAAAAGGAGGAAAAGGGGACAUUGCCAAGCUCCUGGAAUAAUGCUCCCACCUGGCAUAAUGACUAAAGUCAAACACACCUGAGUUUAAAUGCUGAGUCUGCCUGAUAUGGUUUGGCUGUGUCCCCACCCAAAUCACAUCUUGAAUUGUAACUCCCACAAUUCUCACAUGUUGUGGAAGGAACCUGGUGGGAGACGAUUGAAUUAUGGGGGCAGGUCUUUUCUGCACUCUUCUCGUGAUAGUGAAUGAAUCUCACAAGAUCUGAUGGUUUUAAAAAAACGGGAGUUUCCCUGCACAAGCUCUCUCUUUGCCUUCCGCCAUCCAUGUAAGACUUGACUUGCUCCUCCUUGCCUCCACCAUGAUUGUGAGGCCUCCCCAG
rnacentral:lncRNA from 10 species